rnacentral:rRNA from 1 species
AUUUAAUCCUAUUUGGAUAACUGUAGUAAUUCUAGAGCUAAUACAUGCAAAAAACCUGGACUUUACAGAACAGGUGUACUUAUUAGACUUUAAAACCGAUUACAAUUUAUUGUAAAUUUAAAAUGAAUUAAAAUAAGUUUAUGAAUCGCAGAUCAUUUUGUGAUGAUAAGAAUGAAUUUCUGCCCUAUCAACUUUCGAUGGUAAUGUAGUGGAUUACCAUGGUGAUGACGGGUAACGGGGAAUUAGGGUUUGAUUCCGGAGAAAAGGCCUGAGAGACGGCCAUUACUUCUAAGGAAGGCAGCAGGCGCGUAAAUUACCCAAUCCUAAUACGGGGAGGUAGUGACAAGAAAUAUUGAUAUUGGACCCAAAGGGUACAAUGAUUGAAAUGAGAACAAUAUAAAAAACUUAACGACUAACAAUUGGAGGGCAAGUCUGGUGCCAGCAGCCGCGGUAAUUCCAGCUCCAAGAGUGUAUAUUAAAGUU